UUUUUUGUCGAAGAAGAGAGGUUAUGUAUGUAUAUGUGAAUUCUAACCUAUUUUGUAAAUAGGUAUUUUGUAAGUUGUAAAUAGCACAUUGUAACAGUCACUGAGUGCAUAAUAUAUUGGGUUCUAUGGUAAUGUUGAAAGUAAUUUAGUCUAAAACGGAUAUGAAAAUGGUUAACAAGGACGCAAGGAAUAAAAAAGUUAAAGUGUUUCAAAAGAAGAAAAAAUACCGAAUCUUUUGAUAAAAUAAUCAAAACUUUAGAAAAUGUUGAGAUUGACAUUUCUAAAGUUGAAUCAUUUAAAGAUCUUCCGUUAUCACCAUCUACUUUAAAAGGAUUGUUAGAAAGUGGUUAUGAAAAGCCUACAGAAAUUCAGAAAGAGAGUCUAGUGCUUAGUUUAAAAGGAUCAGAUAUUCUUGGUGCAGCUAAAACAGGCAGUGGCAAAACUUUGGCAUUUCUUAUUCCGGUACUUGAAGUAUUGUUCAAGAAAAAGUGGACUCGAUAUGAUGGUGUUGGUGCCCUCAUCAUUACACCAACCAGAGAACUUGCUUAUCAGAUAUUUGAAACUCUUAGAAAAGUUGGUUUCUACCAUGACUUUUCUGCUGGAUUAAUUAUUGGUGGCAAAGAUCUCCAUUUUGAAAAACAUAGAAUGGACAGAGUAAAUAUAGUAAUCUGCACUCCAGGACGUCUUCUUCAACACAUGGAUGAAAAUCCUCUAUUUGAUUGUGUCAACAUGCAAGUCAGUGUUUAUUGAAUUAGCAUUAGGA